UCCUUUAAAUCAAAGAGACCCUCCAAAAUAUACAUUGAUGCCCUAAGAGCAAGUUUAAUAGUAUAGCCAACUACACGCUCCAAAUCAUCUAUAGCUAACUUAAUAGCCAAUUCAUACAAUAGUUACUUACUAUAGUAUUAAUACCUGGUCCUACCUGUCAUACGCACAUUACAUCUUGAAAUCCGUGUGGUGCCAAAUCCUCGACGACUUCACUCUCACACCGAGCGGAGCACACAACCGCGAUGCUCCGCCCUCCGCCCUCCGCUGCCGGCCGUCCCAGUCCCAUCGUCACCGCCGGCAAGCCCGCCCCCCACCGAGGCCGCCGCCACCGCGAGGUGGCUCGCCGCCCAGAACACGUGGGGCGUCCUCAGGGUAUGAAAAGCUUCAGAAUAAGCUACUGAGAGUAUAUUGGCUUCAGAAGAAGCCACGGGGGAUGAAAUUCUUCAGAAGAUACUUCAGUUUGCAAACGGAUAUAUGCAUUGAACGCUCCGCGGUCACUCCCUUCCCUCUCAUUAUCCUCACAGGAAAUGCCCACUGGUGCUCAGGGGCGAUCUCUCUGACGAUCAUGAUGGCAGCACUGACAGAGGUGAAUGCCAAUUGAGAAGCAGCCACCGCUGGAUCUGCUGUUGCAGAAUUUGGUCUUGUACCAGCAACAACAAUACGCCCUUCUGCAACAAAGUUAUAGGGAAGGUGCUCUUGCCUGUGCAUUCCUCUAAUCUAGCAUUUUCAUUGCACAUUUGACCUGAUAAGAUACUUUUCUUAUAGAUGAAGGGGUCAGUACUCCAGUGCUAGGGCACAACGUCGGUGCUCAAGCUUGCACGGUGAUGGUUACUGUUACUGGUUGAUGGCUAUUCUGAGGAUGAUGUUCAGAAAUAAAACUAAAUGGAACUACAAAGUCCAAUUGCAUCCAGUCCAUAUAGGAGCUGAACAGGUCCAGUUAAUGGCAUCUAAAGUGAGCAAAUUUUUUAGUGCUUCUGCAGUUUGCCAACUGAUCUGUCGAUUAGUAGAAAUAUUACUACGUUCUCUUUUACCAUCAUUAUUUUUUAUGUAAUCAAUGGGAAGAUAUGUCUUUAAUAACUAUCAUCGUGAUUGUUUAUAA